UAUAUGCUAGAGGUAUAUACUAUGCUACAAUUUAUCUAUAUAUUUAUUUUGCUUCAUCAUAACGAAUAUCUGAGAAUAGUACCGUUUAAGUUAGCUGAAGCAGAAAGAUCGGUAUUUCGUGUACAUAUACGCACGCACACAUAUCGAAAGUAAUUUUUAUAUAGGACCACUAGAUGGUACUAAUGCAGAAAACAUAUUUCAAGGUCUCGAAAAAUUUAACGUAAUCUCUCGUAUCGCAUCAUUGUUGGUGCAUAUUUGUAAUGGGUCAUGAAAAAUUGGGAAUAAAUAAAUUAGUGUUUUAUAGCUUGGCAAAAAAGUGUAGAAAUGGAACUAAUCCUUUAUUUUACCUGGCAACAUUAUCACAUUUUUGACGUUUGUGAAGUUUUAUAAAUAGUGUCGGUGUUGUCUUUUAUUAAAAUUUUGCAAUAAGAACAAGAAGAUACUAUUCGCGAUACAAAAUGAAUAAGCCGCGAAUAAUAAGGUUCGCGAGAGAAAUUAUAUAUAAAACUUUUACCGACCAUGUCUAGCUGAACAAGAAGCAAAAACAAUUCUAUCGGAUCUGGAAGCAUAUGUGAGUGUGUUUCAAGACAUAACCGAAGAUGAUUGGAAAAUCUCAUGUCAACAUGUAAGAAAAAUUUAAAAUGACUAUUACAAGAGAGAACAUACCCUGUAAGAGGACAUUGAAAGAAUUAUAAUAAAUCUUAAAGAUGACAGUAGUAGUUCUUCAGAAUCAUAGGAUGACUGUCCAGCCAGCUCCAGUCAUGAAAAUAUGGACAUUGAUUUUACUGAAAUACAAUAUUUGGAAGAAA